rnacentral:rRNA from 1 species
CACACCGCCCGUCGCUACUACCGAUUGAAUGGCUCAGUGAGGCUUUCGGACUGGACCCGGGAGGUCGGCAACGACCACUCAGGACUGGAAAGUUAUCCAAACUCGGUCAUUUAGAGGAAGUAAAAGUCGUAACAAGGUCUCCGUUGGUGAACCAGCGGAGGGAUCAUU